AAAAGAAAAGGGAGGGAAAAGGAGGAGAGGAGAGAAGGAAAGAGAGAAAGGGGUCUGUUCUUUUUUUUUAAGACCUUUUUUUUCUUUCUUUCACUCAACU
rnacentral:ribozyme from 14 species